ensembl:lncRNA
UUAUGACAUUGCAUGACAACUUCCACCAAUAAUGGGCACAGCAUUUCCUUUGAAUGUGCCCAGUAAAUCAGUAGCUGUAUGUGACCUUUAAUAUAUAGCUACCUUCUAUUUCACAACUUCCUGAUGCAUGGAAAUCCUUUUUGUCUAGAUUUAGUACAACUGGGAAUUUUGAUCUCUUGUAGAAAUUUAUGAUGAGAGUUGUGAAAUAAGGUAAAAUAGUGGCCUCACAGCCCUGGAAGAUACCUUAGAAGUCAUACAGUCCAGUCACUGGGGCCCAGACAGAUGUCAGUGUUGGUGUUCAAUUAUGUUUGGAAAUAAAAUUUAAACAGUCAAAUGAAGGCCACUUUUUGGUUAGGAGGACUAUAGGAAAAUUUGAUCUGCUCACCCACAGGGGACUUUAUCACUAUAAAGUAAUCUUAUCUUUGGUACAAGUCAAAAUAAAAUGGCUUUUGGGUUCUUUUUCUGAGCAAUUCAGGGUAAGAAGUGAAAUUGAAUCAAGAUUUCCCUGCCUGUAGAGUUUCGUGGGCCUUUUGUGGGAAAUCUAGCUGACUUUUACCUAUGAAGCUGUCCUGUUAAUUCAUCUCACAAAAUGUGGCAAUUGUCCUAUUUGCUAUUUCAAUAAAUGAAAAUCAAGUACUGAUAGAGUACAGGUUUUUAUUUCCCCUGGAACAAGUGUUUGGCAUAUAAAGGGAGUUAUAAAAGACUGAAUGGUUGGAAUAAUUGGGGAAAGUAUAUUUCCAUUGUAUAUAUUCCCUAGCCAUAGUUGUACAGUCUAUCCACAUUCUUGCAUAGUUGGCCUCACAACAGAGUCCUAGACUAGUUAUUUUGAUGGGACUGUCUAUGUGUGUUAGAAUACUGUUUUGUGCACAGCUCCUAAACUUGCCCGUAAAUGUACUGAACUUGUGUAACUUUGAUGUCAGUGAUAUGGCACACUUAACCAAAAUAGAAUUCAGUGCCCUGAUUUCUGAAGAAGUCUGGAUUUAUUUAAACCAAAUUAGGCUCCGUGUUGAGCUUUCUUCUAAUGGUUUACAAAAUGAUGCCAGGAGCCGUCCCUCAGAACUAUCUGAGAGACCGCCUCCUGGGCUUGAAGUCCUUAGAAGUUUCGCUGAAUAAAACAUAAUUCUUAACUUGGCAAGUGAAAAAAAAAAGAUGCCAUCUAUGGCUCUGAAAUACAGUUUGGAAAGAAUCAGUAUGUUCUUUAUCAGAAGUGGAAUUUGUGUAUUUUCUUGGAAUAUAUUGAGAAUCAUUGGAAUCUUUGCUUUUCUCUAGUGUAUAAAAUAAGAGUGUGAGUUCUUAUGUUAAUUUUGGAGAUGGUGGAGCUGGUUUUAAUGCAGUACAUAACUCUUCUUGUCCAUAAUGAACUUGACAAACUAAUUGUCUGCAUUCCGGCAUCUGGACAACUUCCCUUCAAUGCCUGUUUCUUCUCAGUAUUGAAUUAAAUACCAUUGUUGACUUCAAAGGGCAUGUGUUUUGUUCCUUCAGGUAAUCCAGGUGUAUUUGUCACUGCUUAUUUUCCCUUCUGUGAGGGUCUCACCUUGUGUUUGUCUUUUGCACUGUUUAAUAUCUCUAGCUGUAAAAGUCUAACAUUAAUCAUUUCUCUUUUGUUUGUACUCCUUUCCCAUCCCUACUGUGAUGUUCAUGAUCUUCCUUGGAUCAUAAAUUUUCUUCUAGUUUGCUCAGCCAUAGAUGUCCCUUAAAUUAAAAUAAAUCUUAGUCUAAGGUAAAUGUUAUAUAUAAAUGGAUUUAACCCCUUUAUGUCUGAGUGCAACUUUGGAAACCCUUGGUUAAGAGUUUAAACCUAGUUUUCCUAAAAAAAAAAAAGUCCUAGUAGCUAUUACGAAAAGCAUUCUCUCAAUCACCACAAAAAAAAAAAAAAAAAAAAAACACCAAAAAAGAAAACAAAAAACCUCAACUCUCAGAAACAUUUUCAUUUUUGGAGAAAUAAUAUUGGAAAGUAAUUUGGUUUCUUCUCCAUCUGGCUAGGUAUAAACUUGCAUCUUUGAGCAGAAACUCUGGUAUUAUUUUUCUUUUCUCAUUUUACUGCUGAAGCUACAUUGUCAGCAAGUGUACUUUCAUUCUUUUUACAGUUUUUAGUCCUUUCCUCUGAUUUUCUUUAAGACUGUUGCUUCCACUCUCUCUGUUCUAUCUUCAUUCCCCCAUGUAUGUCCCUUACACAGAUACACAUGGUUCAUUUUAAGAAUAGCAGUGAACUUGGUCAGUUGUCUUUUCCUGUCUUUUAAAAUCACUUCAUCAAUCAAUUCUUUUUGGGAUAAUAUCAAAAAGAAUUAAAAGCUUUUAGUCAGCCCUUUUGGUUAAGAGGCAAAUUCAGUUUUUAGGAACCCCCAGAUUAGCAUCAAGUGCUCUUUACCUAUCCCAGUGAUGUUUGACCCUCAAUUCAUUUGUUAGUGUUUGAAUGUUUUACAAAAAGUUGCUUGAGAAGUUAGAUACUCUAGCACUCCAGCUUUGCUAUUUCUCUGUAACACAUCAUACUAAUUAUCAAUUUUCUGACCAGUGACUUUGAAUUAGUGGGUGUGAUCUAUAGACUAGAUAGUAUUUUCUCUCUUUUUUUGGCCUGUUUUCUUCCUUAUCUCACAGCUCAAUUUUGUGGAUGGUUUCUGUUUUCUAAGGUAGAUUUAUUCCUUUGGAAUUUGGUUGUUGGCAAUAAUAGGAACUGUUUUAUAACCUGGAUGCGAAAAGUUUUUUUUUAAAUGGACUGAAAGUAAUCUGAAGAGUUCUUAAUUCAGUCAUCAGAAGUGCUUUCUUCUGAGCACAGGUGGAGGAAGUUAAGGGGCAGAAAGGAAGAACUGUGUUCCUAUAAGCAGCCUGUGGGUUCACCUACCAGCUCAAAACCACGUUAUAAUGAUUCUACUCCUCACUCCAUACCAGUUUCUUUCCAAAAAAUAGCAACUCAAAAUGAGGAACCCUUUUGAAAGAAAAUAUGGAAAUAAGAAUUAUAAUACUUGUACUUUAUAAUAUUUUAGGCUAUCAAACUCUUUCCUAUCUGCCACUUUUUUCUCCAUAAUGCUGAUGGUUGGACAGAGAACAAUGUUCCCUUCUUAUUGGUGAUAAAGCUGCAGAUUGGCAAGAAAAACAAAUGACUUUCUCCUAAUCACAAAGCAAGUCAACUCAUUUGAGACUAAGGUAAUAAUUGCAGACUGCUGAACAGAUUUCUUUGCCAUAAACUAUGACUUAGUGUUACUGAGUGAAUAUUUUGUCAGAUCUAAUCUAAGAAUAAUACAAAGUCUACUUAUUGUACAGAAAAUACGCUUCCGAAGUAUUUUGUUUCCACUAUUUAUUUUAGCCAGCUAUUUUCUUAUGCAUAUAUUGGAAGGUCCGGUCAGAUUCAUAGGACUUGUGUAUUAGGGCUUAGAUUAAUGAAGCUUUAUUUUUACCCCUGUAAAAGUUUUUUUGUUGUUGUUUUGUUUAAAGAAUGUCCCCAUACUACUGAAACAAAGGGAAACAAGGUCAACAACUCAUAAUCAAAAUUCAAUGGUUUUGUAAUUUGAAAUGGUUGAAGGGAAUGUGCUGGGUAAACUGAUUAUUUUAGUUCCCAGGCGUUCAUGGUAAACAUGUAAAAUUGUUGACAUCUCUCAGAAAUAGCUCUGUCUCCCAGUUAUUUGAAUUUGCUUUUUUUUUCUACUUUUCCAGCCAUGUAAAAUCUGUGUCAAAGGUUAAAUAUACCUUUGUUCAGAGAGUUAAGAAAAAUAAUAAGAUGUACUAGUUUUUAGUAAGCUCUUUAUAAAGAGGAAAGUUGGGCUACUUCAUCAGUAUAUUAUGGGCUACUAACAAAAAACAUAGUCCAGACUGUUCUAAAAAUAGUCAAAUAACAUUUUUUGUGAUUCAGUUCCAUAAUUGCCUACCCUAAUGCUUCUCUGUGAUAUUGCUAAAUAAAUCCCUGAUGACGUUAAGACUUUACAAAAAGAGCUCUUUAAAAAAAAAAACAAACAGAUAUACGGUCUUUUUUUUUUUUUUUAACUUUUAUGAGCUAACAUUGUGAUAGGUGCUUUAAGAGAAAUAUUUUUCCAGAAUGAUUUUGUAGUAAAAGUAAAGGGCAGCUUUUGUAUUGUCAUGUCUGGGUGGAUAGUCAUCUUUCGGUUACUAAGAAAUCAUGUAGUGUUCCCUAAAGAGAAGCUCAAAAAUCUGCUCAGCAGAAAGAAAAGUAUUGAUUAUCGGUUUCUUCAUUUUCUCUUAUGCUAUGUGGUGACCUACCAAAUAGAUUCACAGGUGUAUCAAUAUCUGUUUGGAGGAUACCGAUUAUGCUUAUCAUUAGUGGGAACAAAAUAUUCAGAUUCUUCACCAUGGUGAAGUAGAGUAGUACUAAAUUCCCAAUAGAGAAUUAUCAAUUUUACAAAAUAAUAUUUAUGUCUCCAGCUGACGUUUUCCUCUCUUUGGGGUGUAUUUACUAUUUAUUUUGUAUCUUUGAUCUUUUUCUUUGGAAGAUUUUACCUAUUGCCGUCCUACUGUAUUAAAUAUCCCAUACAAUGAAAUAGGUUAGUAAAGAUUUUAAAACCCCACAAAUAUCCAUUUUUGGCUCUUAACACAUGGGGGGAACAGUUUUUAUAAAAGCACUUCAACAUGUAGAAGGGAAAGAUAAUCUUCAUUAUGAUGAUUUCAAUUCAGGAUCAAUAGGUAGUGACUCUGCAAACAAGGGAACACUUACCAGCAGUACUUGAAGACUUGUGAGUUGGGAUUGCAUGUUACUUGAAAGACCUAAUUAAGCUAAAUUUUGGUGCACAGCAGUUGUACAUGAUUUCAUGUUUAUGUAGCAAAAUGCUUUGAAAUGUACUAGUUUUGAAAAAUACAUGUAAAGAUAGUUGUGAAAAUUGUCUAUUAUAUUUUCCUGUGUGUCUCAUUUAUUUAGAGCAUAAAGUUUCUUUUUUAGUUGUUCUAACUGAAUAAGGCUAAAUGAAUACUGUAAUUGAAAUUAUAUUUUAAAUCUUUGUCAUGAGUUUUUAAAAAAAAAAAACUAUUGCAAAUUGUAUCAUUCCUGAUUACACAGAACUUUGUGGGUGGUUUUAAAUAAAUUUUAUACUUCUAUUUUGCA